AAGACAUUAGUAAAAUGCAAAUCACACCACCUUGUCAAGGCGGAAUUGUAGGUUAAAUCCCUGCAUGUCUUA
rnacentral:tRNA from 1 species